UACAGAGGUCUCAAGCGUUGUUCGGAUUCAUUGGGCGUAAAGGGUGCGUAGGUGGCGCUGUAAGUCGGGUGUGAAAUUUCGGAGCUUAACUCCGAAACUGCAUUCGAUACUGCCGUGCUUGAGGACUGGAGAGGAGACUGGAAUUACGGUGUAGCGGUGAAAUGCGUAGAUAUCGUAAGGAAGACCAGUGGCGAAGGCGGGUCUCUGGACAGUUCCUGACGCUGAGGCACGAAGGUCAGGGGGAGCAAACGGG
rnacentral:rRNA from 1 species